GUCUAUGGCCAUGCUACCCUGAACAAGCCCAAUCCUGUCUGAUCUCAGAAGCUAAGCAGGGUCGGGCCUGGUUAGUACUUGGAUGGGAGACCACCUAGGAAGAUCAGGUGCUGUAGGCG
rnacentral:rRNA from 1 species